AAUAUUUUCACUAAUUUCGCAAAAAUUUUCAGAAAAGGGAAUCGUGUGAAAAUCAUGAACUGUCCCCGCAACUGUAAAUCACAACUUUAUAGGAGUACAAAACGUACUUUAUAAAAAGAUUUUUCUACAAAAAAACCAUUGCUAACGCGAGAAGGUGUAGAAAAGGUGAAAGUCAGGAGACCUUGCUGAAAUAUUAAAUUAAA
rnacentral:ncRNA from 1 species